AACGAACGCUGGCGGCAUGCCUAACACAUGCAAGUCGAACGAGACCUUCGGGUCUAGUGGCGCACGGGUGCGUAACGCGUGGGAACCUGCCCUUAGGUUCGGAAUAACUCCCCGAAAGGGGUGCUAAUACCGGAUAAUGUCUUCGGACCAAAGAUUUAUCGCCUUUGGAUGGGCCCGCGUUGGAUUAGCUAGUUGGUAGGGUAAAAGCCUACCAAGGCGACGAUCCAUAGCUGGUCUGAGAGGAUGAUCAGCCACACUGGGACGGAGACACGGCCCAGACUCCUACGGGGGGCGGAAGGGGGAAAUAUGGAACAAGGGGCGAAGGCCUAUCCCCGCAAUCCGGGGGGAGUGAUGAGGCCUUAGGGUUGGAAAGGCUCUUUUCCCGGGGUUGUUAAGGACGGCCCGGGGAAAAAAGCCCCCGCCACCCCCCG
rnacentral:rRNA from 1 species